GAUGAACGCUGGCGGCGUGCUUAACACAUGCAAGUCGAACGAGAAGUGAAGACGGAAACCUUCGGGCGGAAGACUUUAUUUCGAGUGGCGGACGGGUGAGUAACGCGUGGGUAACCUGCCUCAUACAGGGGGAUAACAGUUGGAAACGACUGUUAAUACCGCAUAAGACCACAGCACCGCAUGGUGCGGGGGUAAAAACUCCGGUGGUAUGAGAUGGACCCGCGUUCGAUUAGCCAGUUGGCGGGGUAACGGCCCACCAAAGCGACGAUCGAUAGCCGAUCUGAGAGGAUGACCGGCCACAUUGGGACUGAGACACGGCCCAAACUCCUACGGGAGGCAGCAGUGGGGAAUAUUGCACAAUGGGGGAAACCCUGAUGCAGCGACGCCGCGUGAGUGAAGAAGUAUUUCGGUAUGUAAAGCUCUAUCAGCAG
rnacentral:rRNA from 1 species